GAGUUUGAUCCUGGCUCAGGAUGAACGCUGACAGAAUGCUUAACACAUGCAAGUCAACUUGAACUUCGGUUUGGGUGGCGGACGGGUGAGUAACGCGUAAAGAACUUGCCUCACAGAUAGGGACAACAUUUGGAAACGAAUGCUAAUACCUGAUAUUAUGAUUUUAGGGCAUCCUAGAAUUAUGAAAGCUAUAUGCGCUGUGAGAGAGCUUUGCGUCCCAUUAGCUAGUUGGAGAGGUAACGGCUCACCAAGGCGAUGAUGGGUAGCCGGCCUGAGAGGGUGAACGGCCACAAGGGGACUGAGACACGGCCCUUACUCCUACGGGAGGCAGCAGUGGGGAAUAUUGGACAAUGGACCAAGAGUCUGAUCCAGCAAUUCUGUGUGCACGAUGAAGUUUUUCGGAAUGUAAAGUGCUUUCAGUUGGGAAGAAAAAAAUGACGGUACCAACAGAAGAAGUGACGGCUAAAUACGUGCCAGCAGCCGCGGUAAUACGUAUGUCACAAGCGUUAUCCGGAUUUAUUGGGCGUAAAGCGCGUCUAGGUGGUUAUGUAAGUCUGAUGUGAAAAUGCAGGGCUCAACUCUGUAUUGCGUUGGAAACUGUGUAACUAGAGUACUGGAGAGGUAAGCGGAACUACAAGUGUAGAGGUGAAAUUCGUAGAUAUUUGUAGGAAUGCCGAUGGGGAAGCCAGCUUACUGGACAGAUACUGACGCUAAAGCGCGAAAGCGUGGGUAGCAAACAGGAUUAGAUACCCUGGUAGUCCACGCCGUAAACGAUG
rnacentral:rRNA from 1 species